rnacentral:rRNA from 1 species
GCAACUCGCCUGCAUGAAGUCGGAAUUGCUAGUAAUCGCAGAUCAGCAUGCUGCGGUGAAUACGUUCCCGGGCCUUGUACACACCGCCCGUCACACCAUGGGAGUCGGUAACACCCGAAGUCAGGAGCCUGACCUUUUUAGGAGGGCACUGCCGAAGGUGGGAUUGAUGACUGGGGUGAAGUCGUAACAAGGUAGC